rnacentral:lncRNA from 1 species
UACAAGCAAUAAGAUGGGAAGUCUUGCUGACAAUAUACCAGUACAUUUCUUAUUUAGUUCAUUCUGUAAAUCCAACCAAAUAGGUUUAGUCUGAUAAUGAAGUUAUUAUUUUUUUGUUGCCUUCUGUUGACUCUUGCUGCUUCAAUGUAUAUGGUGAGCGCAGCCACAUUAUGUCCUCCAAGCCUUGUACGCUGCGCUAAGUGCACCUCCAGAUGUCCGAGUGGUCAACAAUUAGUUGAGAAUGAGUGCAAUUGCUGCCUUAAUCGAUGCAUACCGGCAUGAAAUGAAGCGGAAUUGUAUGGCAGCGGCAAAUUUACGGGAUCUUUUGUACACUGAAAUUCAGAUCAAUAAUAAAAAUGAUUUGUGUUUUGUUAUACAAAUAUAAACUUCAAA